CCUACGGGUGGCAGCAGUGAGGAAUAUUGGUCAAUGGACGAGAGUCUGAACCAGCCAAGUAGCGUGAAGGAUGACUGCCCUAUGGGUUGUAAACUUCUUUUAUAUGGGAAUAAAAUGUUCCACGUGUGGGAUUUUGUAUGUACCAUAUGAAAAAGGAUCGGCUAACUCCGUGCCAGCAGCCGCGGUAAUCCGGAGGAUCCGAGCGUUAUCCGGAUUUAUUGGGUUUAAAGGGAGCGUAGGUGGAUUGUUAAGUCAGUUGUGAAAGUUUGCGGCUCAACCGUAAAAUUGCAGUUGAAACUGGCAGUCGUGAGUACAGUAGAGGUGGGCGGAAUUCGUGGUGUAGCGGUGAAAUGCUUAGAUAUCACGAAGAACUCAGAUUGCGAAGGCAGCUCACUGGACUGCAACUGACACUGAGGCUCGAAAGUGUGGGUAUCAAACAGGUUUAGAUACCCCAGUAGUC
rnacentral:rRNA from 1 species